rnacentral:rRNA from 1 species
CCUACGGGCGGCUGCAGUGGGGAAUAUUGCACAAUGGGCGCAAGCCUGAUGCAGCCAUGCCGCGUGUGUGAAGAAGGCCUUCGGGUUGUAAAGCACUUUCAGCGGGGAGGAAGGCGGUGAGGUUAAUAACCUCAUCGAUUGACGUUACCCGCAGAAGAAGGACCGGCUAACUCCGUGCCAGCAGCCGCGGUAAUACGGAGGGUGCAAGCGUUAAUCGGAAUUACUGGGCGUAAAGCGCACGCAGGCGGUCUGUCAAGUCGGAUGUGAAAUCCCCGGGCUCAACCUGGGAACUGCAUUCGAAACUGGCAGGCUAGAGUCUUGUAGAGGGGGGUAGAAUUCCAGGUGUAGCGGUGAAAUGCGUAGAGAUCUGGAGGAAUACCGGUGGCGAAGGCGGCCCCCUGGACAAAGACUGACGCUCAGGUGCGAAAGCGUGGGGAGCAAACAGGAUUAGAUACCCCUGUAGUC